UGUGCCUACGGGGAGCAGCAGUAGGGAAUCUUCCACAAUGGGCGCAAGCCUGAUGGAGCAACACCGCGUGAGUGAAGAAGGGUUUCGGCUCGUAAAGCUCUGUUGUUGGAGAAGAACGUGCGUGAGAGUAACUGUUCACGCAGUGACGGUAUCCAACCAGAAAGUCACGGCUAACUACGUGCCAGCAGCCGCGGUAAUACGUAGGGGGCAAGCGUUAUCCGGAAUUACUGGGUGGAAAGGGGGAGUAGGCGGCA
rnacentral:rRNA from 1 species